AGAGCGAACGCUGGCGGCAGGCCUAACACAUGCAAGUCGAGCGGCCGUAGCAAUACGGCAGCGGCAGACGGGAGAGUAACACGUGGGAACGCGCCCUUCGGUUCGGAAUAACUCAGGGAAACUUGGGCUAAUACCGGAUACGCCCUUACGGGGAAAGAUUUAUUGCCGAAGGAACGGCCCGCGUCCGAUUAGCUUGUGGUGAGGUAACGGCUCACCAAGGCGACGAUCGGUAGCUGGUCUGAGAGGAUGACCAGCCUCACUGGGACUGAGACACGGCCCAGACUCCUACGGGAGGCAGCAGUGGGGAAUAUUGGACAAUGGGCGCAAGCCUGAUCCAGCCAUGCCGCGUGGGUGAUGAAGGCCCUAGGGUUGUAAAGCCCGUUUCGGCGGGAAGAUAAUGACGGUACCCGCAGAAGAAGCCCCGGCUAACUUCGUGCCAGCAGCCGC
rnacentral:rRNA from 1 species